rnacentral:rRNA from 1 species
AGGAUGAACGCUGGCGGUCUGCUUAACACAUGCAAGUCGAACGGAGUAGCAAUACUUAGUGGCGGACGGGUGAGUAACGCGUGAGAAUCUACCUUCAGGACGGAGACAACAGUUGGAAACGACUGCUAACCCCCGAUGUACCGAAAGGGCAAAUAUUUAUAGCCUGAAGAAGAGCUCGCGUCCGAUUAGCUAGUUGGAGAGGUAAAAGCUCACCAAGGCGACGAUCGGUAGCUGGUCUGAGAGGACGAUCAGCCACACUGGGACUGAGACACGGCCCAGACUCCUACGGGAGGCAGCAGUGGGGAAUUUUCCGCAAUGGGCGAAAGCCUGACGGAGCAAGACCGCGUGGGGGAAGAAGGCUCUUGGGGUUGUAAAACCCCCUUUUCUCUGGGAAGAACGGCAAUGACGGUACCAGAGGAAUCAGCAUCGGCUAACUCCGUGCCAGCAGCCGC